UACGUAGGGUGCAAGCGUUGUCCGGAAUUAUUGGGCGUAAAGAGCUCGUAGGCGGUUUGUUGCGUCGGCUGUGAAAUCCCGAGGCUCAACCUCGGGUCUGCAGUCGAUACGAGCAGGCUAGAGUUCGGUAGGGGAGACUGGAAUUCCUGGUGUAGCGGUGAAAUGCGCAGAUAUCAGGAGGAACACCGAUGGCGAAGGCAGGUCUCUGGGCCGAUACUGACGCUGAGGGGCGAAAGCGUGGGGAGCGAACAGG
rnacentral:rRNA from 1 species